GAUGAACGCUGGCGGCGUGCCUAAUACAUGCAAGUCGAGCGAACGGACGAGAAGCUUGCUUCUCUGAUGUUAGCGGCGGACGGGUGAGUAACACGUGGAUAACCUACCUAUAAGACUGGGAUAACUUCGGGAAACCGGAGCUAAUACCGGAUAAUAUUUUGAACCGCAUGGUUCAAAAGUAAAAGACGGUCUUGCUGUCACUUAUAGAUGGAUCCGCGCUGCAUUAGCUAGUUGGUAAGGUAACGGCUUACCAAGGCAACGAUGCAUAGCCGACCUGAGAGGGUGAUCGGCCACACUGGAACUGAGACACGGUCCAGACUCCUACGGGAGGCAGCAGUAGGGAAUCUUCCGCAAUGGGCGACAGCCUGACGGAGCAACGCCGCGUGAGUGAUGAAGGUCUUCGGAUCGUAAAACUCUGUUAUUAGGGAAGAACAUAUGUGUAAGUAACUGUGCACAUCUUGACGGUACCUAAUCAGAAAGCCACGGCUAACUACGUGCCAGCAGCCGCGGUAAUACGUAGGUGGCAAGCGUUAUCCGGAAUUAUUGGGCGUAAAGCGCGCGUAGGCGGUUUUUUAAGUCUGAUGUGAAAGCCCACGGCUCAACCGUGGAGGGUCAUUGGAAACUGGAAAACUUGAGUGCAGAAGAGGAAAGUGGAAUUCCAUGUGUAGCGGUGAAAUGCGCAGAGAUAUGGAGGAACACCAGUGGCGAAGGCGACUUUCUGGUCUGUAACUGACGCUGAUGUGCGAAAGCGUGGGGAUCAAACAGGAUUAGAUACCCUGGUAGUCCACGCCGUAAACGAUGAGUGCUAAGUGUUAGGGGGUUUCCGCCCCUUAGUGCUGCAGCUAACGCAUUAAGCACUCCGCCUGGGGAGUACGACCGCAAGGUUGAAACUCAAAGGAAUUGACGGGGACCCGCACAAGCGGUGGAGCAUGUGGUUUAAUUCGAAGCAACGCGAAGAACCUUACCAAAUCUUGACAUCCUUUGACAACUCUAGAGAUAGAGCCUUCCCCUUCGGGGGACAAAGUGACAGGUGGUGCAUGGUUGUCGUCAGCUCGUGUCGUGAGAUGUUGGGUUAAGUCCCCGCAACGAGCGCAACCCUUAAGCUUAGUUGCCAUCAUUAAGUUGGGCACUCUAAGUUGACUGCCGGUGACAAACCGGAGGAAGGUGGGGAUGACGUCAAAUCAUCAUGCCCCUUAUGAUUUGGGCUACACACGUGCUACAAUGGACAAUACAAAGGGCAGCGAAACCGCGAGGUCAAGCAAAUCCCAUAAAGUUGUUCUCAGUUCGGAUUGUAGUCUGCAACUCGACUACAUGAAGCUGGAAUCGCUAGUAAUCGUAGAUCAGCAUGCUACGGUGAAUACGUUCCCGGGUCU
rnacentral:rRNA from 1 species